rnacentral:tRNA from 1 species
GCCUGGCUGGCUCAGCUGGUAGAGCAUGCAACUCUUGAUCUCGGGGUCGUGAGUUUGAGCCCCAUGUUGGGCA